GGGUCAGUAGGUUGGUCGUGCCACCGGUACGUACUGGUCUCACUGAUUCCUCCUUCCCGAAGAACCGUAAUGCCAUUAAUAUGGUGUUGCGGGGAAACAGGACUGUUACUUUGAAAAAAUUAGAGUGUUUAAAGCAAGCUAACGCUUGAAUACAUUAGCAUGGAAUAAUGAAAUAGGACGAUCGAUCCUAUUUUGUUGGUUUCUAGGAUUGACGUA
rnacentral:rRNA from 1 species